rnacentral:rRNA from 3 species
UGGGGAAUAUUGGACAAUGGGCGCAAGCCUGAUCCAGCCAUGCCGCGUGAGUGAUGAAGGCCCUAGGGUUGUAAAGCUCUUUCACCGAUGAAGAUAAUGACGGUAGUCGGAGAAGAAGCCCCGGCUAACUUCGUGCCAGCAGCCGCGGUAAUACGAAGGGGGCUAGCGUUGUUCGGAAUUACUGGGCGUAAAGCGCGCGUAGGCGGAUAUUUUAGUCAGGGGUGAAAUCCCGGGGCUCAACCCCGGAACUGCCUCUGAUACUGGAUAUCUUGAGUUCGAGAGAGGUAAGUGGAAUUGCGAGUGUAGAGGUGAAAUUCGUAGAUAUUCGCAGGAACACCAGAGGCGAAGGCGGCUUACUGGCUCGAUACUGACGCUGAGGUGCGAAAGCGUGGGGAGCAAACAGG